rnacentral:tRNA from 1 species
UCCCGUGUGGCUCAAUCGGUUUAGAGCGUCUGACUCUUAAUCAGAAGGUUGCGAGUUCGAGUCUCGCCAUGGAGG